UACGUAGGGUGCGAGCGUUAAUCGGAAUUACUGGGCGUAAAGCGUGCGCAGGCGGUUCGUUAAGUUCGUUGUGAAAGCCCCGGGCUCAACCUGGGAACUGCAAUGGAAACUGGCGGGCUUGAAUGCGGCAGAGGGGGGUGGAAUUCCGCGUGUAGCAGUGAAAUGCUUAGAUAUCGUCAAGAACACCGAUAGCGAAGGCAGCUUACUAGGCUGUAACUGACGCUGAGGCACGAAAGUGUGGGGAUCAAACAGG
rnacentral:rRNA from 1 species